rnacentral:lncRNA from 10 species
CAGUGAUGCCCAGCAGAACAUCUCUUCCUUCUUAGUCAGAUGUCCCUUGGGAGUAGUUGUGCAAGGUUAAUUCUUUGCCUGGUAGAAGACUGUGGUGCAUUUUGGAUUAUAUUUUGUCUGUGAGAUCUUAGGUUGGUUCUUCAGAUGUUAGCCUUCUACUGGGGCAAUAUUUCUUUUUCUGUGUUUAUUUGUUGUUAUUGACUUCUAAUAUAAUUGCAUUGUUGUCAAAAGAUGUGGUCUGCGUGAUUGUAGUUCUUUGAUAUUUGUUGAGACUUUCAUUAUGGUCUAGUUUUAGUUAAAUUUUAUAAAUAUUCUUCAUAUGCUUGAGGAUAAUAUGUAUUCUGUAAUUUAAAUAUAUAUUAAAUUAGCCUUGAUAACCAUCCUGGUCUUCUGUAGCUUUAUUAAGUAAUUUUUUUGGUCUGCCUGAACUACCAAUACAUAAAAGAAAUGUAUUAAUCUCCCACUACAA